AUUGAACGCUGGCGGCAGGACUAACACAUGCAAGUCGAACGAGUGGCGGACGGGUGAGUAAUGUCUGUGAAACUGCCCGCUGGAGGGGGAUAACUACUGGAAACGGUAGCUAAUACCGCAUACCAUCGGAUGUGCCCAGAUGGGAUUAGCUAGUAGGUGGGGUAAUGGCUCACCUAGGCGACGAUCCCUAGCUGGUCUGAGAGGAUGACCAGCGAAACUGGAAAUGAGACACGGUGCAGGGUCCUACGGGAGGCAGGAUUGGGGAAGAUUGAACAAUGGGCGCAGGCCUGAUGCAGCCAUGCCGCGUGUAGGAAGAAGGCCUUCGGGUUGUAGAGUACUUGGAGCGAGGAGGCGUGACUCGCAGAAGAAGGAUCGGCGAACGCCGUGCCAGCAGCCGCGGUAAAAC
rnacentral:rRNA from 1 species